rnacentral:rRNA from 1 species
UACGGGGGGGGCAAGCGUUGUUCGGAAUUACUGGGCGUAAAGGGCCCGUAGGCGGCCAACUAAGUCCGACGUGAAAUCCCAAGGCUUAACCUUGGAACUGCGUCGGAUACUGGAUGGCUUGAAUUCGGGAGAGGGAUGCAGAAUUCCUGGUGUAGCGGUGAAAUGCGCAGAUAUCAGGAAGAACACCCGUGGCGAAGGCGGCUCUCUGGGACGGUACUGACGCUGAGACGCGAAAGCGUGGGGAGCGAACAGG